ACUUUCAUGAGAGUUUGAUCCUGGCUCAGGACGAACGCUGGCGGCGUGCCUAAUACAUGCAAGUCGAGCGAACCGACGAGGUGCUUGCACCUUUGACGUUAGCGGCGAACGGGUGAGUAACACGUAAGGAAUCUACCUAUAAG
rnacentral:rRNA from 1 species